AUUUGACCCCAUUUGAGACAUGAGUAUACUGAGGUUCAGAAGGUGACUGCUUACUCCCUAGUCACCCAUGGAGACCCAACACUGGCUGCCCUGGUUGGUGACUAAGUCCAUGUAGAAGUCUUGACUCCUGAGUGGGAGGGGACAGGAGGAGUGUGG